rnacentral:rRNA from 1 species
GCUGGCGGCGUGCUUAACACAUGCAAGYGGUGCGACGAACCAGGGCUUGCCCUGGGGCAAAGCCGCGAACGGGUGAGUAACACGUGAGUAACCUGCCCCGAUGACCGGGACAACCCGAGGAAACUCGGGCUAAUACCGGAUGUGGCGCACUGGCGUAAGCCGGUUCGCUAAAGGAAGCUUCGGCCUCCGCAUUGGGAGGGGCUCGCGGCCCAUUAGCUUGUUGGUGGGGUAACGGCCUACCAAGGCAACGAUGGGUAGCUGGUCUGAGAGGACGAUCAGCCACACUGGGACUGAGACACGGCCCAGACUCCUACGGGAGGCAGCAGUGGGGAAUCUUGCGCAAUGCGCGAAAGCGUGACGCAGCAACGCCGCGUGGGGGAAGACGGCCUUCGGGUUGUAAACCCCUUUCAGGAGGGACGAAGGUUCGCCGGUGAAUAGCCGUGCGGAUUGACGGUACCUCCACAAGAAGCUCCGGCUAACUACGUGCCAGCAGCCGCGGUAAUACGUAGGGAGCAAGCGUUGUCCGGAAUCAUUGGGCGUAAAGCGCGCGUAGGUGGCCACGUAAGUCCGUUGUGAAAGUCAAAGGCUCAACCUUUGAAAGCCGAUGGAUACUGUGUGGC